rnacentral:rRNA from 1 species
UACGUAGGGGGCUAGCGUUGUCCGGAUUCAUUGGGCGUAAAGAGCUCGUAGGCGGCUGCUCAAGUCGAAUGUGAAAACUCGAGGCUCAACCUCGAGCCUGCAUUCGAUACUGGGCGGCUAGAGUCUGGUAGGGGGGAUCUGGAAUUCCUGGUGUAGCGGUGGAAUGCGCAGAUAUCAGGAGGAACACCGGUGGCGAAGGCGGCAUCCUGGACCGGUAUUGACGCUGAGGAGCGAAAGCCAGGGGAGCAAACGGG